UACGUAGGGUCCGAGCGUUGUCCGGAAUUACUGGGCGUAAAGAGCUCGUAGGUGGUUUUGUCGCGUUGUUCGUGAAAACUCACAGCUCAACUGUGGGCGUGCGGGCGAUACGGGCAGACUAGAGUACUGCAGGGGAGACUGGAAUUCCUGGUGUAGCGGUGGAAUGCGCAGAUAUCAGGAGGAACACCGGUGGCGAAGGCGGGUCUCUGGGCAGUAACUGACGCUGAGGAGCGAAAGCGUGGGGGAGCGAACAGG
rnacentral:rRNA from 1 species